UACGAAGGGGGCUAGCGUUGUUCGGAAUUACUGGGCGUAAAGCGCACGUAGGCGGAUAUUUAAGUCAGGGGUGAAAUCCCAGAGCUCAACUCUGGAACUGCCUUUGAUACUGGGUAUCUUGAGUAUGGAAGAGGUGAGUGGAAUUCCGAGUGAAGAGGUGAAAUUCGUAGAUAUUCGGAGGAACACCAGUGGCGAAGGCGGCUCACUGGUCCAUUACUGACGCUGAGGUGCGAAAGCGUGGGGAGCAAACAGG
rnacentral:rRNA from 1 species